AUGCAAGUCGAGCGGUAGCACAGAGAGCUUGCUCUCGGGUGACGAGCGGCGGACGGGUGAGUAAUGUCUGGGAAACUGCCUGAUGGAGGGGGAUAACUACUGGAAACGGUAGCUAAUACCGCAUAAUGUCGCAAGACCAAAGUGGGGGACCUUCGAGCCUCAUGCCAUCAGAUGUGCCCAGAUGGGAUUAGCUAGUAGGUGGGGUAACGGCUCACCUAGGCGACGAUCCCUAGCUGGUCUGAGAGGAUGACCAGCCACACUGGAACUGAGACACGGUCCAGACUCCUACGGGAGGCAGCAGUGGGGAAUAUUGCACAAUGGGCGCAAGCCUGAUGCAGCCAUGCCGCGUGUGUGAAGAAGGCCUUCGGGUUGUAGAGCACUUUCAGCGGGGAGGAAGGCGGUGAGGUUAAUAACCUCAUCGAUUGACGUUACCCGCAGAAGAAGCACCGGCUAACUCCGUGCCAGCAGCCGCGGUAAUACGGAGGGUGCAAGCGUUAAUCGGAAUUACUGGGCGUAAAGCGCACGCAGGCGGUCUGUCAAGUCGGAUGUGAAAUCCCCGGGCUCAACCUGGGAACUGCAUUCGAAACUGGCAGGCUAGAGUCUUGUAGAGGGGGGUAGAAUUCCAGGUGUAGCGGUGAAAUGCGUAGAGAUCUGGAGGAAUACCGGUGGCGAAGGCGGCCCCCUGGACAAAGACUGACGCUCAGGUGCGAAAGCGUGGGGAGCAAACAGGAUUAGAUACCCUGGUAGUCCACGCCGUAAACGAUGUCGAUUUGGAGGUUGUGCCCUUGAGGCGUGGCUUCCGGAGCUAACGCGUUAAAUCGACCGCCUGGGGAGUACGCCCGCAAGGUUAAAACUCAAAUGAAUGACGGGGGGCCCGCACAAGCGGUGGAGCAUGUGGUNUAUUUCGAUGCAACGCGAAGAACCUUACCUGGUCUUGACAUCCACAGAACUUUCCAGAGAUGGAUUGGUGCCUUCGGGAACUGUGAGACAGGUGCUGCAUGGCUGUCGUCAGCUCGUGUUGUGAAAUGUUGGGUUAAGUCCCGCAACGAGCGCAACCCUUAUCCUUUGUUGCCAGCGGUUAGGCCGGGAACUCAAAGGAGACUGCCAGUGAUAAACUGGAGGAAGGUGGGGAUGACGUCAAGUCAUCAUGGCCCUUACGACCAGGGCUACACACGUGCUACAAUGGCAUAUACAAAGAGAAGCGACCUCGCGAGAGCAAGCGGACCUCAUAAAGUAUGUCGUAGUCCGGAUUGGAGUCUGCAACUCGACUCCAUGAAGUCGGAAUCGCUAGUAAUCGUAGAUCAGAAUGCUACGGUGAAUACGUUCCCGGGCCUUGUACACACCGCCCGUCACACCAUGGGAGUGGGUUGCAAAAGAAGUAGGUAGCUUAACCUUCGGGAGGGCGCUUACCACUUUGUGAUUCAUGACUGGGGUGAAGUCGUAACAAGGU
rnacentral:rRNA from 1 species